rnacentral:rRNA from 1 species
AUUGAACGCUGGCGGCAUGCUUUACACAUGCAAGUCGAACGGCAGCGCGGGCUUCGGCCUGGCGGCGAGUGGCGAACGGGUGAGUAAUGCAUCGGAACGUGCCCAGUAGUGGGGGAUAGCCCGGCGAAAGCCGGAUUAAUACCGCAUACGACCUGAGGGUGAAAGCGGGGGACCGAAAGGCCUCGCGCUAUUGGAGCGGCCGAUGUCGGAUUAGCUAGUUGGUGGGGUAAAGGCUUACCAAGGCGACGAUCCGUAGCUGGUCUGAGAGGACGACCAGCCACACUGGAACUGAGACACGGCCCAGACUCCUACGGGAGGCAGCAGUGGGGAAUUUUGGACAAUGGGGGCAACCCUGAUCCAGCCAUGCCGCGUGCGGGAAGAAGGCCUUCGGGUUGUAAACCGCUUUUGUUCGGGAAGAAAGCCUCUGGGCUAAUACCCCGGGGGGAUGACGGUACCGGAAGAAUAAGCACCGGCUAACUACGUG